AGAAGUACCUCAAGAAUCUCUUCCUUUUCUUUCUCCACAAGAGCGUCGCCAAGAUACAUCAGAACAAGACACAGUACACCAGACUCAGAUGCCCAGGAGGUCACGCUGGGAACGGAUGAGUGCCGACGGCCUGGGAAUCAGACUGUCCUUUGGUGUGAGGUAGUAGGUUGUAUAGUUUUAGGGUUCUACCCUGCCUGUCAGAUAACUAUACAAUCUACUGUCUUUCCUGAAGUGGCUGUGGUAGCAACCCAGGAGACAUCUUCCCACCUUUCUGGAAACUGUGCCUUGUUACUUUUUGGGCACGAUGUAUGAAUUGAGUAAAAGCUUAGAAGAAGGGAGCCAUGACAGGACGUGACCAAAUCAUGUGAGUCAGAAUGUCCUCAAGUAUCUCAGGAUACCGGUCUGAUGAUCUCCCCACGGAGGAGGAACCACAUCCAGCACUAAUUUUCAAGGUCAGCCAAGGUCAUCUGAAGCUUCAUCCGGCUUUUCAGCAGGGUGAGGUAGUAGGUUGUGUGGUUUCAGGGUAGUAAUUUUGCCCCAAUCAGGAGAUGACUAUACAACCUACUGCCUUCCUUGAGGAUCAGCUUUGCAACCUCUCUGAACGCCUACAGUACAAGCCUACAUCGGUUUUAUGCUACACUCACAUUCCUGCUUUAUGCAAAGUAAACCAAGAGAAGUAAUUGUUCAGGAAGCUGAGAAUUUCCUAGCAGAAAAGGCCGUUCUCUGGUUUAUGGAAUUGCACCUUUUCAUCCAGUUCAGAUUUCCUCUCCAAGUCUUCACUAUUGCCAAAAUAAAUGUAUAUGUGGGUAUUCAAUUAUUCUCUUUAUCAAAGCCUUUAUAUCAGUAAAUCCUGCUGUAUUUGCCAGUCAAUGCAUGUUCCUAGAAAGGCUCUUAACGUCUUAAUUAUCUCAAAACUGGAAUAAAAGGUUUUGUGUUUU